UUUAUUUCUCUCAGCUCGAUCUGCAAAGACAACACCAAGUGCUGGCUCCUCUCCAAAGAGAGGACUGUGUCGAGCCUGAGCGUCUACACAUGGAACGCUCUGGGGUGGUCCCGCUAAGGAUGUCAUGAAAAGUCGUUAAGAUUCUGGGCCUCCCCCAUCCCUGUGUCUGGCCUGGAGAGGAGAGAGCAGAGCUUACUGGAGAGGCGCCAGAGGGUCCAGAGGGUCCUGGAUGCUCCCUGCCCUUUCUUUCUCUAAGACACCUAUCUGAGGCUGCCCGUCUUGUGCCACGACUCCCGCUGCGGGGGACCAGAGGAUGACUGAGAUACAAUCCACUGGCUGUGACCUCAGAGUUGGCAUUCUCAGAGGACCUGCGUUCAGUUCCCAGAAUUAAGAUAAGGAUCUGGCUUUCUACACCAUCGCUCCCCAAAAAACAGCUAAGCAGCUUUCCCAACGUUGCCUACAGAAUACACAUCUGCUCUUGACAUUGUUCUGAGAUGUGUCUGGGCAAAUCAGAGCUGUGUCUAUGUUUACAUUAAACUGAAGUCUUUUGCU
rnacentral:lncRNA from 1 species